GAUGAACGCUAGCUACAGGCUUAACACAUGCAAGUCGAGGGGAAACGAUAUUGGAAGCUUGCUUCCGAUAGGCGUCGACCGGCGCACGGGUGAGUAACGCGUAUCCAACCUGCCCACCACUUGGGGAUAACCUUGCGAAAGUAAGACUAAUACCCAAUGACGUCCAUAGAAGACAUCUGAAAUGGAUUAAAGAUUUAUCGGUGAUGGAUGGGGAUGCGUCUGAUUAGCUUGUUGGCGGGGUAACGGCCCACCAAGGCGACGAUCAGUAGGGGUUCUGAGAGGAAGGUCCCCCACAUUUGAACUGAGACACGGUUUAAACUCCUACGGGAGGCAGCAGUGAGGAACAUUGGUCAAUGGGCGAGAGCUUGAACCAGCCAAGUAGCGUGCAGGAUGACGGCCCUAUGGGUUGUAAACUGCUUUUAUAAGGGAAUAAAGUGAGCCUCGUGAGGCUUUUUGCAUGUACCUUAUGAAUAAGGACCGGCUAAUUCUGUGCCAGCCGCCGCUGUAA
rnacentral:rRNA from 1 species